rnacentral:lncRNA from 13 species
AUGCUAAGGUUGGACUUCAGACGAACUAUGACAGAAUCUGUAGGGGUGGGACCCAGCACUAGGUAUAUACUAUGUUCUCAAGGAAAUUUGAUGAGCCAUCAAUCUUCUCAUGAAUAUUAUUCUAUAUUUAUAUUUCACUUCCUUUUGGCACACAUUCAUUUGACAAGCUUGGGCUAUCACAGAAUUAUAUGGCAUUUGUGAAUUUAUCACUGAAUGAAAUGGAUUCUCUGAAUUUACCACAGAGGACAAGGCCUAGGGCAUAGAAAGUAUGUAUUACAAGUUCUUGUUUUCAUUUCAUUAAUAUUUCCUAUAGAUUAACAUCCUUGGUCUGCAUGAUACCUUGUUGCACAUUAUAAUCACUGAGGGGAGCUUUAAAAAAAUAUACCUACGCUAGCUGGGUGCAGUGUCUCACGUCUAAUCCCAGCAUUUUGGGAGGCAGAGGUGGGAGGAUUGCUUGAGUUCAGGAGUUUGAGACCAGCCUGGGCAACAUAAUGGGACCCUAUCUCUAUACAUAACUAAAUAGCCUGGUGGCAUGCGCCUGUAGAGCCAGCUACUCAGGAGGCAGAGGUGGGAGGAUUGCAUGAGCCCAGGAGGUUGAGGUUGCAGAAAGCUGUGAUGCACCACUGCACUCCAGCCUGGGUGACACUGUCUCAACAAAACAACCUAUACCCAUGCCUCACCCUAAGACUUUCUUUUAAUUGGUCGGCAGGAGGAUCCUGAAUUGGCAUUUAUCUAUUUAACUUCACCAAGAGUUAGCUUUGAAAUGAUUCCAAACACUUCACUAAGUGAGUGGCAUGUUUUUCUAUGAGAAGAACAUGGAGUGUCCUUCUUCUUCCCAUGAGGAUGUUAUAGCAUACCCUAUCAGACCACAGAUGUAAGUUAUUGGCCUCAACUUCUGGAAGUAGUUUUCUAUGAUCAUUAAAUUUUCUUUAAAAAAUGCAUACAUCUAGUAAGAACUCAAAAGAUAGAAAAUAAUCCAGUAAAAACCAGGCAUGGUGGCUCAUGCCUGUAAUUCCAGCAAUUUGGAAGGCCAAGGUGAGCAGAUAACCUGAGGUCAGGAGUUCAAGACCAGCCUGGCUAACAUGGUGAAAACUGUCUCUAUUAAAAGUACAAAAAUUAGCCAGAUGUGGUGGUGCACACCUGUAGUCCCAACAGAGGUGGGAGGCAGAGGCAGGAGAAAUGCUUGAACCUGUGAGAUGGA